rnacentral:rRNA from 1 species
CACAGAGUUAGCCGGUGCUUAUUCUGUCGGUAACGUCAAAACAGCAAGGUAUUAACUUACUGCCCUUCCUCCCAACUUAAAGUGCUUUACAAUCCGAAGACCUUCUUCACACACGCGGCAUGGCUGGAUCAGGCUUUCGCCCAUUGUCCAAUAUUCCCCACUGCUGCCUCCCGUAGGAGUCUGGACCGUGUCUCAGUUCCAGUGUGACUGAUCAUCCUCUCAGACCAGUUACGGAUCGUCGCCUUGGUGAGCCAUUACCCCACCAACUAGCUAAUCCGACCUAGGCUCAUCUGAUAGCGCAAGGCCCGAAGGUCCCCUGCUUUCUCCCGUAGGACGUAUGCGGUAUUAGCGUUCCUUUCGAAACGUUGUCCCCCACUACCAGGCAGAUUCCUAGGCAUUACUCACCCGUCCGCCGCUGAAUCAAGGAGCAAGCUCCCGUCAUCCGCUCGACUUGCAUGUGUUAGGCCUGCCGCCAGCGUUCAAUCUGAGCCAGGAUA